UACAGAGGUCCCGAGCGUUGUUCGGAUUCACUGGGCGUAAAGGGUGCGUAGGUGGCGUGGUAAGUUUGAUGUGAAAGCUCAGGGCUUAACCCUGAAAUGGCAUUGAAUACUACUGUGCUGGAGGUUUGGAGGGGGGACUGGAAUUCUUGGUGUAGCAGUGAAAUGCGUAGAUAUCAAGAGGAACACCAGUGGCGAAGGCGAGUCCCUGGACAACACCUGACACUGGAGGCACGAAAGCUAGGGGAGCAAACAGG
rnacentral:rRNA from 1 species